CUACGUGCCAGCAGCCGCGGUAAUACGUAGGGCGCGAGCGUUGUCCGGAAUUAUUGGGCGUAAAGAGCUUGUAGGCGGUUUGUCGCGUCUGCUGUGAAAGGCCGGGGCUUAACCCCGUGUAUUGCAGUGGGUACGGGCAGACUAGAGUGCAGUAGGGGAGACUGGAACUCCUGGUGUAGCGGUGGAAUGCGCAGAUAUCAGGAAGAACACCGAUGGCGAAGGCAGGUCUCUGGGCUGUAACUGACGCUGAGAAGCGAAAGCAUGGGGAGCGAACAGGAUUAGAUACCCUGGUAGUCCAUGCCGUAAACGUUGGGCACUAGGUGUGGGGGACAUUCCACGUUUUCCGCGCCGUAGCUAACGCAUUAAGUGCCCCGCCUGGGGAGUACGGCCGCAAGGCUAAAACUCAAAGAAAUUGACGGGGGCCCGCACAAGCGGCGGAGCAUGCGGAUUAAUUCGAUGCAACGCGAAGAACCUUACCAAGGCUU
rnacentral:rRNA from 1 species